rnacentral:tRNA from 1 species
GGGGUUGUGGCUCAGUGGUAGAGCCCUCUCUGGCAUGUGUGAGGCACUGGGUUUGAUCCUCAGCACCACA